rnacentral:rRNA from 1 species
CAAUAGCGUAUAUUAAAGUUGUUGCAGUUAAAAAGCUCGUAGUUGGAUUUCUGGUGGGAGCGAUCGGUCUGGCGCUUAGCGCGAGUACUUGCAUCGUCUCCGGCCAUCCUUGGGGAGAGUCUGUCUGGCAUUAAGUUGUCGGGCAGAGGAUCCUCAUCGUUUACUGUGAAAAAAUUAGAGUGUUAAAAGCAGGCUUAUGCCGUUGAAUAUAUUAGCAUGGAAUAAUAAGAUAGGACUUUGGUACUAUUUUGUUGGUUUGCGCACCAAAGUAAUGAUUAAUAGGGACAGUUGGGGGUAUUCGUAUUCCGUUGUCAGAGGUGAAAUUCUUGGAUUUACGGAAGACGAACUACUGCGAAAGCAUUUACCAAGGAUGUUUUCAUUAA